CUAAGUUUGAUGGCGACCGGCGCACGGGUGAGUAACACGUAUCCAACCUGCCGAUGACUCGGGGAUAGCCUUUCGAAAGAAAGAUUAAUACCCGAUGGCAUAGUUCUUCCCGCAUGGUAGAACUAUUAAAGAAUUUCGGUCAUCGAUGGGGAUGCGUUCCAUUAGGUUGUUGGCGGGGUAACGGCCCACCAAGCCUUCGAUGGAUAGGGGUUCUGAGAGGAAGGUCCCCCACAUUGGAACUGAGACACGGUCCAAACUCCUACGGGAGGCAGCAUG
rnacentral:rRNA from 1 species